AGGAUCAACGCUGGCGGCGUGCCUAAAACAUGCAAGUCGAACGGCACCUUCGGGUGCAGUGGCGGACGGCUGAGUAACACGUGGGCGACCUGCCCACCGGUGGGGGACAACCUUCCGAAAGGAGGGCUAAGACCGCAUGCGACCGCUCAUUCAGUUGAGUGGGGAAAACAGCGAUGUGCCGGUGGAGGGGCCCGCGGCCGAUUAGCUAGCUGGUGGGGUAACGGCCUACCAGGGCGACGAUCGGUAGCCGGUCUGAGAGGAUGAUCGGCCAGACUGGGACUGAGACACGGCCCAGACUCCUGCGGGAGGCAGCAGUUAGGAAUUUGGGCAAUGGGCGAAAGCCUGACCCAGCAACGCCGCGUGGGCGACGAAGCCUUUCGGGGUGUAAAGCCCUUUUCUUCGGGACGAUAAUGACGGUACCGGAGGAAGAAGCCCCGGCUAACUACGUGCCAGCAGCCGC
rnacentral:rRNA from 1 species